UACCGGGGUCAAAAGAGAUUAACCAAUUUUUGGAAACUGGUCGCAGCCGGGGGCUUGCUCCCGCUCGGCCGCGCGUCGUCCCGGUAUUGCACUUACCUCCGGGCACGGCGCAUCUCCC
rnacentral:snRNA from 1 species